rnacentral:rRNA from 1 species
AGCGGCGAACGGGUGAGUAAAGCAUCGGAACAUGUCCAUGUCGUGGGGGAUAGCCCGGCGAAAGCCGGAUUAAUACCGCAUAAGCCCUGAGGGGGAAAGUGGGGGACCGCAAGGCCUCACGCGAUUGGGUUGGCCGAUGUCCGAUUAGCUAGUUGGUGAGGUAAAGGCUUACCAAGGCGAUGAUCGGUAGCUGGUCUGAGAGGAUGAUCAGCACACUGGGACUGAGACACGGCCCAGACUCCUACGGGAGGCAGCAGUGGGGAAUUUUGGACAAUGGGGGCAACCCUGAUCCAGCCAUUCCGCGUGAGUGAAGAAGGCCUUCGGGUUGUAAAGCUCUUUUGUCCGGAGCGAAACGGGUAGCGUGAAUAUCGCUGCCUACUGACGGUACCGGAAGAAUAAGCACCGGCUAACUACGUGCCAGCAGCCGCGGUAAUACGUAGGGUGCGAGCGUUAAUCGGAAUUACUGGGCGUAAAGCGUGCGCAGGCGGUUUUGUAAGCCAGAUGUGAAAUCCCCGGGCUUAACCUGGGAAUGGCAUUUGG